CGACACUCGAAUAAGUGCUUGUGAAGCAAUAGAAAUUCUACAUCUCAACCAUGAACAAACUCGUCCUGGUGCUCCUGCUUGUAGGCUGCGUCGCUCUGCUGACUCUGCCGCCACAAGUUGAAGCAUGGGAGGAAUUGGCUUGUACUUGCCGACAUGUCUGUGAGGGGUAUGAGGCUUACUCUGGCAGCUGCCGAAAUAAUCAGCCAGGGAUAUAUUGCUGCAAUAUGUUUUUUCC